ensembl:lncRNA clumping factor A-like
GAAACUCAACAAACACUGAAGUGUGAUCUGAUCAAAGUCUGUCUUCUGUGGACCUGCUGACAACAACAUGCUGCACUGGUCUGUUGUGUUGCUGCUUUGUGCGCUCACUGCUGUUUCUCUUGCAGCUCCUGUCAACAAGGAAUCGACGGAUGACGAGAGAACUGCACAACUGCUGACACACCUGAACGGACAUGGUACAGAUACACCCGUGACAGCACAACCAGAUGCUUCUGACAGCAAAGAACAAACUGAAGCUCCCUCAGAAUCAGAUGAGACCACUGAAUCACCAGCUGACUCAGAUGACAGACAUGACAGUAGUUCUGUGAUGGACAACUCUGAAGAUGACAGCAAAGCUUCCCCUGAGCAGAGCGAAGCAGAAUCAGCAGAGACAACUGAAGCUCAAGGUGACCAGAGUGAGGAGUCUGAGGUGGACGCCUCUGAGGAUGAUACUGAGGAUGCUACAAACACGAAGAAAGAUGACGACACUGAUGAAGACUCUGACUCUGACUCUGACUCUGAUGCUGAGAGAACUCCAGGAGACCAGGACAGCAACGACAAGACCGAUGAUGACAGUGUGGAGGAGGGAGACGCAGCGAGCGAGGAAGCAGCAGAAGAGGAGGAGCUUCAGAAGGAGGAGAUGGAUGAGAUGAGUGAAACAGAUAUGUCAGAGGAGCUCAUGGAGGAGAAUGAUGACAGUAUGAGUGAGAUGAAAGAGGAUGGUGAUACAACAAGUGAUGGAGCGAAUGAGAUGAGCCAGUCCGACAGUGACACCUCUGACGAUGAAGCUGAGCCUGAUGGCAUGCCUGCCUCUGACGGCAAGGAGGAAGAGGAUGUGAUCCAAGACGACUCCGUAAUACCUGACACCGAAGGAGCUGAAGAGCAGAGUCCAGACGCCCAUGACUCCACUGAAGGUAAACUCAGCGCGAACAGGACAGCCGCACUGUUGGAGGUUUCGAGAGUUACGUUGCUGCUUCACUUUCCUGUUUAUUUCCCUUUCAGUUCCUGCUGCAGCAACGCCUGCUGACCAAUCAGAUGAUGCCGUCCCAGCCACCACAGCGGGUAAAGUCCACAUGCUGCUGUGACAACACACUGCUUCACAGCCAAUCACACGGCUGAUGUUUCUGCUGCGACACAUAGACCUAGCACAUAAACAAAGAUCCUGUUUUCUUCUUGUAGCCACAAAUUAGAAGCUAAGCCCGUGAUCUGUGGAAGCGAACUGACUCCAGGUAGGAUCACACUCUGCAUCGCACUGAGACCAACAAGUCCGUCAGAGACAGGAACCAAUGCUAAGUUUUGGGUUCUGGUAGAAUUAGUCAAAUGUGAGUGACAGUCCUGUAGGCGCCACACUGAGAAAUGUUUAAGAACGCUUUGAUGUCAUGUGCGUAUUUUCUUUUCUUGUGUCUUACAGAGCCACGCCCACGGCCUCCACAGAGGAAUACUGUUGCCAUGACAACAACAAGCUAAAUUGCAACUAAACCUCAUCCUCUGGCUUUCUGUUUGUUUCUCUCCUUUGCCUGGUUCUGAUUGGUUGUUUCUUUUUUUUUUUUUCAAACAUUUCCCUCCCUUCCACCAAGCGACCCUCUCUGUGAUGUGUUCACUGCACAAACAUUAAACCAGCUGCUGAUCGUAGUUUCGCUUUGUGUGUCUGAUUUAACGUGUACAUACAGUCCAUCGUUUACUUCACAAACGUUACCACUGCUCUUCCAGCAGGUGAGCACAGAAUGAUUGUACACAGAGGAACUGCUAAUAA